rnacentral:rRNA from 1 species
GACGACCGCUGGCGGCGUGCUUAACACAUGCAAGUCGAACGAAGUGGCAAACGGGUGCGUAACGCGUAAUCAACCUGCCCUUCAGAGGGGUACCACAGUUGGAAACGACUGCUAAUACCGCAUACUGAAGGAGGGGAUUGCGUCUGAUUAGAUAGUUGUAGGGGUAACGGCCAACCAAGGCGAUGAUCAGUAGCCGGUCGGGGAGGAUGAGCGGCCACAUUGGGACUGAGACACGGCCCAGACUCCUACGGGAGGCAGCAGUGGGGAUGCUUCCGCAAUGGACGAAAGUCGGACGGAGCAACGCGGCGUGAGUGAUGACGGCCGUCGGGUUGUAAAGCGCUGUUAAUCGGGACGCGGUACCGGAAUAGAAAGCCACGGCUAACUACGUGCCAGCAGCCGCGGUAAUAC